AGUGAACGCUGGCGGUAGGCCUAACACAUGCAAGUCGAACGGCAGCACAGUAAGAGCUUGCUCUUACGGGUGGCGAGUGGCGGGCGGGUGAGGAAUACAUCGGAAUCUACUUUUUCGUGGGGGAUAACGUAGGGAAACUUACGCUAAUACCGCAUACGACCUACGGGUGAAAGCAGGGGAUCUUCGGACCUUGCGCGAUUGAAUGAGCCGAUGUCGGGUUAGCUAGUUGGCGGGGUAAAGGCCCACCAAGGCGACGAUCCGUAGCUGGUCUGAGAGGAUGAUCAGCCACACUGGAACUGAGACACGGUCCAGACUCCUACGGGAGGCAGCAGUGGGGAAUAUUGGACAAUGGGCGCAAGCCUGAUCCAGCCAUACCGCGUGGGUGAAGACGGCCUUCGGGUUGUAAAGCCCUUUUGUUGGGAAAGAAAAGCAGCAGGUUAAUACCCCGCUGUUCUGACGGUACCCAAAGAAUAAGCACCGGCUAACUUCGUG
rnacentral:rRNA from 1 species